rnacentral:lncRNA from 1 species
AUGCGUUUUCCCGUCCAAUUCAAUAACUUAAGGAAAACUUGAAGAUUAAAAAAGUGUUGUUCACGGUUAAUCUGGAGUAUUGAAAUUCACAAUUUAUUAAAUGAACAACUGGAAAUCAUUUUGUAUGCAAGUAUAACAUGUGUGGAGAAGAACCCUCUAGCUAGUCCGUCAUUUAUCAUUUUACCUUAAUUUUACGUUUUUAUCAAUUCUGUAAUUUAAUUAAGUUUAAUUUACUUUUCAUCAAAACCAAACACCCAUCCAUUAUUAAAUUAUUUUAUUUAGUUAGUUUUCUUUAUUGUUAGUCUUUUAAUUUAAUUUCCGUCCAUUUCAGUUCCUAGUGUUUAAUUU